UGAAUGCACACAUCACAAAGAAGUUUCUCAGAAUGCUUCUGUGUAGUUUCUAUGUGAAAAUAUUUCCUUUUCCACAAUAGGCUUCAAAGCUCUCCAAAUAUACAGUUGAAGAUUCUACAAAAAGAGUGUUUCAAAACUGCUCAAUCAAAAGGAAGGUUCAACUCUGUGAGAUGAAUGCACACAUCACAAAGAAGUUUCUCAGAAUUCUUCUGUGUAGUUUUUAUGUGAA
rnacentral:lncRNA from 1 species